UACGGAAGGUCCGGGCGUUAUCCGGAUUUAUUGGGUUUAAAGGGAGCGUAGGCCGGAGAUUAAGCGUGUUGUGAAAUGUAGACGCUCAACGUCUGCAAUGCAGCGCGAACUGGUUUCCUUGAGUACGCACAAAGUGGGCGGAAUUCGUGGUGUAGCGGUGAAAUGCUUAGAUAUCACGAAGAACUCCGAUUGCGAAGGCAGCUCACUGGAGCGCAACUGACGCUGAAGCUCGAAAGUGCGGGUAUCGAACAGG
rnacentral:rRNA from 1 species